CACACCGCCCGUCAAGCCAUGGGAGUGGGUUGCACCAGAAGUAAGUUGUCUAACUUUCGAGAGGACGCUUACCACGGUGUGAUUCAUGACUGGGGCU
rnacentral:rRNA from 1 species